rnacentral:rRNA from 1 species
UACAGAGGUCCCAAGCGUUGUUCGGAUUCACUGGGCGUAAAGGGUGCGUAGGCGGUCGGUAAGUCUGAUGUGAAAUCUCACAGCUUAACUGUGAAACUGCAUUGGAUACUAUCCGGCUAGAGGAAUGGAGGGGAGACUGGAAUACUUGGUGUAGCAGUUGAAAGCGUAGAUAUCAAGUGGAACACCAGUGGCGAAGGCGAGUCUCUGGACAUUUCCUGACGCUGGAGGCACGGAAAGCCAGGGGAGCAAACGGG